rnacentral:rRNA from 1 species
GUGCCAGCAGCCGCGGUAAGACGAACCGUGCGAACGUUGUUCGGAAUCAUUGGGCUUAAAGGGCGCGUAGGCGGGUGUUCAAGUCCGGGGUGAAAUCCUCCAGCUCAACUGGAGAAGAGCCCCGGAUACUGUUCACCUGGAGAGAGGUAGGGGCACAUGGAACUUCCGGUGGAGCGGUGAAAUGCGUAGAGAUCGGAAGGAACGCCGGUGGCGAAAGCGAUGUGCUGGAUCUUUUCUGACGCUGAGGCGCGAAAGCUAGGGGAGCAAACGGGAUUAGAUACCCCGGUAGUCCUAGCCCUAAACGAUGGGUACUGGGUUGCGGGUCAGACAUAGACUCGCAGCCGAAGCAAAAGUGUUAAGUACCCCGCCUGGGGAGUAUGGUCGCAAGGCUGAAACUCAAAGGAAUUGACGG